AUUGAACGCUGGCGGCAGGCCUAACACAUGCAAGUCGAGCGGAGCGGCGGACGGGUGAGUAAUUCCUGGGACUCUGCCUGGUCGUUGGGGAUACCGUCAGGAAAAGGGCGCUAAUCCCGCAUCCUAUCAGCUGAGCCUGGGUCGGAUGAGCUAGUUGGUGGGGUAAAGGCGUACCAAGGCGACGACCCGUAUCUGGUCUGAGAGGGUGAUCAGUCACACUGGAACUGAGACACGGUCCAGACUCCUACGGGAGGCAGCAGUGGGGAAUAUUGGACAAUGGGCGAAAGCCUGAUCCAGCCAUGCCGCGUGUGUGAAGAAGGUCUUCGGAUUGUAAAGCACUUUAAGUUGGGAGGCGUUACCAACAGAAUAAGCACCGGCUAACUCCGUGCCAGCAGCCGCGGUAAUAC
rnacentral:rRNA from 1 species